UGUUCAGUGAACUUAGCAUUCCUCUAGGGGUGGAGUUCGUGGUUCCCAGGACUGGCUUUUAUUGCAAACUGUGUGGGCUGUUCUACACGAGCGAGGAGACAGCGAAGAUGAGCCACUGCCGCAGCGCUGUCCACUACAGGAACUUACAGGUAUCCACCCUCCUUGCCCAGCAUGCCAGGGGCUCCCCAGUCUCCAUAACCGGGCCAGGUUUCUGGCGUCCUCGGCCUUGCUUGCCUCUGAGUCUAGCUCCCACCUGCAAGGCCUACUCAGGGCCACAGAUUACUUGCCAUUCCCCAAGCACAUCAAGCUGUUUUCUGCUUCUGUGUCUGUCUCCUUCCACUACACGGAGAACUCCUAAUCUUCCCAUAGACUUGAUUCCAUCAGGCUGCUCUCCACGUGGUGGCUACCUCCCAUGUUGCUCCUAGCACAUGUCUCUACUUUAAUACUUAAAACAUCCUGUUUGGGUUGGCUUUGGC
rnacentral:sRNA from 1 species